ACAUUCCCAUUUUUGCCAUCUGAGACAUGUGUUUCCAGUUAACACAAUUUACAAUAUGCUUACAAACUGUUUUCUUAUAAUCUCAUUUAAUCCUCAAAAUCACACUUCUGCUAUUCUCCAUUUAUGACGAAAAUGUGACAUCCAAAAGGGUGAGUGACUUACUCGUUCAUAUCAUAAAGUCAACAAUGACAAAGCCACAGAGACCACUGCAGUGACCACGGCAGCCGGAGCACCUCCCCUGACCCAGGUGCAGCCCAGGUGCCCCACUCUGCACUUCCCACGCUCAUUAGCACUGAUUCCAUCCACACCGAGCUGGGUCUCAUCACUCCCAUCUUGCAGAGGGGCAAGGACGCUGAAGAGCACAGAGCUGGUGAGGGUAAAAGAAGGGUGAGAGGCCUGGGCCACAUGCUCGGGGAGCCCGAGCCCAUCAGCUCCCACGCAGCCCCCAGACCACAGCCUGCGCUCCUCUCCAGGUGAAGCAGUCAGCACUUCCUAACAAGCUCCUGCUUGGCCCCCACUCAACAAUGACACCUGAACCACUGGUUAGGCAUGGUACACUGUCAAAAAUGCUACCCAUGCAGGUGCUUUUCCUGAUCCAGCCACUGACUGCAUGACUUGAAGGAGUGAACAUCAGCUACAACGCUGCACCUGAAACACUGGAGUGGUGAUGCCAUCUUACAGGUUGGAUCCUCUCAGAGUUGGGAGGCACCUCAAUGGUGAUUGAGCCCAGCCCCUGAGCCCUGAGCCUGGGUUUCUCCAGUGUUCUCCAGGGCAGUCCGCAGAGAAGCAGUUUCUCUUAUGGGGACCCCAAGGCUGUCCACAUCAUCCUACUCUGUUUAUUUUCCACCACUCCUGGAAGAUGUGCAAUCUGGGGUCCAGAGAGGAGACUCCUGGAGAAGUCACAGACCCAGAGAAGUGACUGUUCUUGAGGGUCCUCUGGUUCAACAACCCUGCCUGGGGCUAGAAAGACCUAGACAAGCUAAGCCGAGGAGGGGGCAGGAGGGAGGACUUGAACGCAGACCCCACCCUCCAGGAGGAUACCCAGGCUGCGUGCCCCAGCGGGUACCAGUGGUCAAAGGGACCAUAUUGAGGGAUUGGGCCUCCUUGUGCUUCUGAGUGCAUUUUUUAACAUCUGAGGCCCAGCCCAGCCGCAGAAUGUCUGGUCCUGGCUCUGCAAAGCAGCUGUUGCCUCUGGCAUGUUAGAGACCUUGGCCAAAGCGCUUGUCCAUUUUCUCUCCUUCCUGGGAUGGCUCAACAGCCUGCAGGUGUGUAGAGAAACCAACCCCAGGCCCAUGGGGCUGCAGGCACACGAGAGCGGGAUGUCUCACGAUCUCUAGACCCGAAGGCAGCUUCUCGAUGGUGAUCUGUUUAUCAGACCGCUCAUUCCCGUCCCACCGCCUGCCCACAUCCAUUCACCCACCGGCGGAGGGCCAGCCUCGCUGCUCCUCCCAGCCCUGAGACAGGUCAGGCCGUCCAAGGCUGCCAGCCUCGUGCGGGAGGGCUCCUUAGAGCCCCCCCCAGUUAGACAAUGGCCACGUUCCUGCUUCCUAGGCCUUCGGAGGCAUCGUACAAGGAGAGAGCAGCCUUCCUUGCAGAGGCAAGUGUCGCUGCUGAUGAAACACUAGCAAAAUUAUCAUUAAAAACCGGACCCAUCGCCCUCUUCCAGGGAGCAGGGAAAGGACCGGAGUCUGAGGUUCAUGCGUCCGCCCCAGCGCAGGCUCCUCCGCCCCCCGCCCCCGCCCUGCUCCCGCGGCGAAGGAGAGGGCGACCCACUUACUGCUUGCGCUCAUGGUGACGCCUGUGCCCCGAGCCUUUCAUGCAGGACGCAGGACCCGGCAGCUUUUUAAAUCUUUGGAUAUUUCGACCUCACUCAUCACCUGGGGGGUGAAAAGGCAGUCCAGUGCCGGCUGUCUCCCCGCAAGCGCUCGCCCCCUCUGCUGUCGCCCCCCGGUCUGGGCUGUAGCUACCGGCCUAGAAGGCGAGUGGGCCGGCCGGCAGGCGCAGAGGCCCUCACCCUACUCUGACUGCACCCACGGUCUCAACACCUUCCUCACUGUGAGUGUCAACGGCGACGACAGGCACAGCAGCACCAUGGCAGGCACCUAGUAAAUGCUCAUGCACUGCAGUGCUUGCCUUGGGA